GACGAACGCUGGCGGCGUGCCUAAUACAUGCAAGUUGAGCGAUGAAGAUUGGUGCUUGCACCAAUUUGAAGAGCAGCGAACGGGUGAGUAACGCGUGGGGAAUCUGCCUUUGAGCGGGGGACAACAUUUGGAAACGAAUGCUAUACCGCAUAACAACUUUAAACAUAAGUUUUAAGUUUGAAAGAUGCAAUUGCAUCACUCAAAGAUGAUCCCGCGUUGUAUUAGCUAGUUGGUGAGGUAAAGGCUCACCAAGGCGAUGAUACAUAGCCGACCUGAGAGGGUGAUCGGCCACAUUGGGACUGAGACACGGCCCAAACUCCUACGGGAGGCAGCAGUAGGGAAUCUUCGGCAAUGGACGAAAGUCUGACCGAGCAACGCCGCGUGAGUGAAGAAGGUUUUCGGAUCGUAAAACUCUGUUGGUAGAGAAGAACGUUGGUGAGAGUGGAAAGCUCAUCAAGUGACGGUAACUACCCAGAAAGGGACGGCUAACUACGUG
rnacentral:rRNA from 1 species